GAUGAACGCUGGCGGCGUGCUUAACACAUGCCAGUCGAACGAAGCAUUUAAGACAGAUUACUUCGGUUUGAAGUCUUUUAUGACUGAGUGGCGGACGGGUGAGUAACGCGUGGGUAACCUGCCUCAUACAGGGGGAUAGCAGCUGGAAACGGCUGGUAAUACCGCAUAAGCGCACAGUACCACAUGGUACAGUGUGAAAAACUCCGGUGGUAUGAGAUGGACCCGCGUCUGAUUAGCUAGUUGGCGGGGUAACGGCCCACCAAGGCGACGAUCAGUAGCCGACCUGAGAGGGUGACCGGCCACAUUGGGACUGAGACACGGCCCAGACUCCUACGGGAGGCAGCAGUGGGGAAUAUUGCACAAUGGAGGAAACUCUGAUGCAGCGACGCCGCGUGAGUGAAGAAGUAGUUCGCUAUGUAAAGCUCUAUCAGCAGGGAAGAUAGUGACGGUACCUGACUAAGAAGCUCCGGCUAAAUACGUG
rnacentral:rRNA from 1 species